UACGGAGGAUGCAAGCGUUAUCCGGAAUCAUUGGGCGUAAAGCGUCCGCAGGUGGCUUUACAAGUCUGUUGUUAAAGCCCAGGGCUCAACCUUGGAUCAGCAAUGGAAAAUGGUAGUCUUGAGUGCGGUAGGGGCAGAGGGAAUUCCCAGUGUAGCGGUGAAAUGUGUAGAUAUUGGGAAUAACCCCUGUGGCGAAGGCGCUGUGCUGGACCCCAACUCUCCCUUAUGGCCGAAAGCUAGGGG
rnacentral:rRNA from 1 species